UUGUACCUUAUACUGCUGCACAGGUU
rnacentral:piRNA from 1 species